ACUCAAAUGAAUUGACGGGGACCCGCACAAGCGGUGGAGCAUGUGGAUUAAUUCGAUACUAACCGAAGAACCUUACCCAGACUUGACAUCGAUUGAAAGGCCGAGAAAUCGGUCCCUCCCUCACAAGGGGACAUGAAGACACUUGUUGCAUGGCUGUCGUCAGCUCGUGCCGUGAGGUGUACGGUUAAGUCCGCCAACGAGCGCAACCCACGUCCUGUGUUACCAGCGAGAGAGUCGGGCACUCACAGGAGACCGCCGGUGUAAGCCGGAGGAAGGUGUGGAUGACGUCAAGUCAGCAUGGCAGUUACGUCUGGGGCUUCACACAUGCUACAAUGGGCGCAACAAAGGGCCGCGAUACCGUGAGGUGGAGCCAAUCCCAAAAAUACGCCCCCAGUUCAGAUUGUAGUCUGCAACUCGACUACAUGAAGGCGGAAUCGCUAGUAAACGCAGGUCAGCUAUACUGCGUUGAAUACGUUCCCGGGUCUUGUACACACCGCCCGU
rnacentral:rRNA from 1 species